rnacentral:rRNA from 1 species
AUUGAACGCUGGCGGCAUGCCUAACACAUGCAAGUCGAGCGGAGCGGCGGGCGUGAGUGUAAUGCCUAGGACUCUGCCUGGUCGUGGGGGAUAACGUCCGGAAACGGGCGCUAAUCCCGCAUACUAUGAGGUGAGCCUAGGUCGGAUUAGCUAGUUGGGGGGGUAAAGGCCUACCCAGGCGACGAUCCGUAACUGGUCUGAGAGGAUGAUCAGUCACACUGGAACUGAGCCACGGACAAGAGGCCUAAGGGAGGCAGCAGUGGGGAAUAUUGGACAAUGGGCGAAAGCCUGAUCCAGCCAUGGAGAGUGUGUGAAGAAGGUCUUCGGAUUGUAAAGCACGUUAAGUUGGGAGGCGUUACCAACAGAAUAAGCACCGGCUAACUUCGUGCCAGCAGCCGCGGUAAUUC